GACUGGUUGGUCUACAGGUUACAGUUCUCACCUCUAGCACGAGAGGUCCCAGGUUCAGAUCCCAGACAAGCCCCCA
rnacentral:tRNA from 1 species